UACAGAGGGUGCAAGCGUUAAUCGGAGUUACUGGGCGUAAAGGGCGCGUAGGUGGUUGUACAAGUAAGGUGUGAAAUCCCUGGGCUUAACCUAGGAAUUGCACUUUAAACUGUAUAGCUAGAGUGCGGUAGAGGGUAGUGGAAUUUCCGGUGUAGCGGUGAAAUGCGUAGAGAUCGGAAGGAACACCAGUGGCGAAGGCGGGUCUCUGGACAGUUCCUGACACUGAGGCACGAAGGCCAGGGGAGCAAACGGG
rnacentral:rRNA from 1 species